UUUUAUGGAGAGUUUGAUCCUGGCUCAGGAUGAACGCUGGCGGCGUGCCUAAUACAUGCAAGUCGAGCGAACGGACGAGAAGCUUGCUUCUCUGAUGUUAGCGGCGGACGGGUGAGUAACACGUGGAUAACCUACCUAUAAGACUGGGAUAACUUCGGGAAACCGGAGCUAAUACCGGAUAAUAUUUUGAACCGCAUGGUUCAAAAGUGAAAGACGGUCUUGCUGUC
rnacentral:rRNA from 1 species